GCGCUGUAGAGGUCCAGGUCUGCGUACACAGGAUGUCUGCAGCCGGGUCCAGCGGCUGUCUAUGUCUCUGGCCCAGUUGCACCUUCUGUACCUUGUUUUGCCUUCUCUUUGCUUGUGAUGGAGCGCUCUCUCCCACACACACUGUGAAGGACUCUUUAGACCUUUAGUCUGUCUUUCUGCUCAGCAGCUCCAGCUGCCCGAAGUACCCAGGAGAGGUCCUGAGACACCAUUGAAGUCACCAUUCCUAACACAGCAAAGGAGAACAAACUUUACCUGUCACCUCUCUCUGCUGCCGUGUGGGACCCAAAUUAGCAGAAGCACAGUCUAACUAAAGCAGCCUCCAGGUGGCUCCCACCUGCAGCUGCUGCCUCUUUGACACUCAAAGGCUCCUUUGUUUCUUCCUUCAUCACUGUGCUGCGCAGAGUUUUCUGUUGGAUUGACACAGCUUAGAGAGGAAGGGAAGAGGGAACUUCCAGCUGAGAAAAUUCUGCCCCGAGCAGAAUGACCGGCAGGCAAGCCUGGGAGGCCUUUUUUCUUAAUUGAGGACUGUGGUGUGGCUGUGCCCUCACUCACUAUGGGCAGCGCCACCUCUGGGCUGGUGGUGUCAGAAAGCCGACUAAGCAAGCUGAGAGCAGCAGGCCUGUAAGCAGCCUUCCUUCACGGCCUUUGCUUCCAUUCCUGGCACCAGGUUCCUGCCCUGCCUGAGUUCCUGCCUUGGCUUCCCUUGAUGACAGACUGUAGCGUGAAAGAUGAAGCAAUCCCUCUUCUCUUCAGGCUCCCUUGGUUGUGUUGUUUAUCGCAGGGAUAGAAAGCAGUAAUUUAUCUGGUUAGUGACUUAGUCCUAGUUAAUUCUUUCUCAUUUACCUUCUCUUUGUGGGCAGUUCCUGUAACAGGGUCGUUACACCUUCUCUGUAGGACUGUGAGGAGAGGUAGGGAAAGUCCACGGGCUGUGGCCCAGCUUCAGUGAGAACUCCAUAAAUGUUAACUGUGCGACCCAGAGAGCGCAGACGAGGGGCCCAUAAAACUAGAAGUGACACAGGUGGACUUUCAGAUAGGAAGGCCGCAACCUGUGAACCUUGGAGACUAUGACAGGUAUAUUUAGGCUUUCCAACGACAGGCACAGAUCAAGUGUCAGUAUCGGAGAUCCCAGUAUUAAAUCUCAGAUACCAUUGGUUGCCACACCCAUUAGUUUUGUGUGUUACUACAGAAAUAAAAAAAAUCAC